rnacentral:rRNA from 1 species
AUUGAACGCUGGCGGCAGGCCUAACACAUGCAAGUCGAGCGAGCGGCGGACGGGUGAGUAAUGUCUGGGAAACUGCCUGAUGGAGGGGGAUAACUACUGGAAACGGUAGCUAAUACCGCAUACCAUCAGAUGUGCCCAGAUGGGAUUAGCUGUUAGUGGGGGUAACGGCUCACCUAGGCGACGAUCCCUAGCUGGUCUGAGAGGAUGACAAGCCACACGGGAACUGAGACACGGUCCAGACUCAUACGGGAGGCAGCAGUGGGGAAUAUUGCACAAUGGGCGCAAGACUGAUGCAGCCAUGACGCGUGUGUGAAGAAGGCCUUCGGGUUGUAAAGCACUUUCAGCGGGGAGGCGUUACCCGCAGAAGAAGCACCGGCUAACUCCGUGCCAGCAGCCGCGGUAAUAC